UACGUAGGGAGCAAGCGUUGUCCGGAAUUACUGGGUGUAAAGGGUGCGUAGGCGGCCGUAAGGGUCAGACGUGAAAUAUAUGGGCUUAACCCAUAGACUGCGUUUGAAACUAUAUGGCUUGAGUGAAGUAGAGGCAGGCGGAAUUCCCUGUGUAGCGGUGAAAUGCGUAGAGAUAGGGAGGAACACCAGUGGCGAAGGCGGCCUGCUGGGCUUUAACUGACGCUGAGGCACGAAAGCGUGGGUAGCAAACAGGAUUAGAUACCCGGGUAGUCCACGCUGUAAACGAUGAUUACUAGGUGUGGGAGGUCUGACCCCUUCCGUGCCGCAGUUAACACAAUAAGUAAUCCACCUGGGGAGUACGACCGCAAGGUUGAA
rnacentral:rRNA from 1 species